GACGAACGCUGGCGGCGUGCCUAAUACAUGCAAGUAGAACGCUGAAGGGGGAGCUUGCUUCUCCGGAUGAGUUGCGAACGGGUGAGUAACGCGUAGGUAACCUGCCUGGUAGCGGGGGAUAACUAUUGGAAACGAUAGCUAAUACCGCAUAACAGUAGAUAUCGCAUGAUAUCUGCUUGAAAGGUGCAAUUGCAUCACUACCAGAUGGACCUGCGUUGUAUUAGCUAGUUGGUGAGGUAACGGCUCACCAAGGCGACGAUACAUAGCCGACCUGAGAGGGUGAUCGGCCACACUGGGACUGAGACACGGCCCAGACUCCUACGGGAGGCAGCAGUAGGGAAUCUUCGGCAAUGGACGGAAGUCUGACCGAGCAACGCCGCGUGAGUGAAGAAGGUUUUCGGAUCGUAAAGCUCUGUUGUAAGAGAAGAACGAGUGUGAGAGUGGAAAGUUCACACUGUGACGGUAUCUUACCAGAAAGGGACGGCUAACUACGUG
rnacentral:rRNA from 1 species